rnacentral:tRNA from 1 species
CCCUUGGUAGUUUAAUUCAAAACGCUAGCUUUGCAAGAUGGUAAUGGGCUUCCCAAAACCCCCAAGUGA